GCAUCAGCACUUCAGGAAUGGAGCAGCAAUGUUAGUCCGAUCUGUCAAAUGCAGAGGCUAUAAACUUCCCCUGAGGAACACAGUGAAGCAGCCUUUCGGAUGAGCCCAGAGGAACUCCUAAAUAUCUCACUGGUGAGAGUGGAGGAGGACACAUGCUGUUGCUGUUACCAAGAGCACUGAAGGGUCUGGAAAGUCCCGGCGUGCAGUUUUCAGCUUUAAAGAGCUUUCUAAAUGGGGAAGGCCUGAGCCCGAACCAACCAGACAAGGAAUGAACUCAAGGAACUCAAUUUGAUCCAUACCUGUGUGACUGCAGCCCUUGACAACUUCUUUGCAAAGAUGGGGUGAAGAG